rnacentral:rRNA from 1 species
GCAGGCUGCAACCCGCCUGCAUGAAGUUGGAAUCGCUAGUAAUCGCGGAUCAGCAUGCCGCGGUGAAUACGUUCCCGGGCCUUGUACACACCGCCCGUCACACCAUGAGAGUCGGGAACACCCGAAGUCCGUAGCCUGACCGCAAGGGGGGCGCGGCCGAAGGUGGGUUCGAUAAUUGGGGUGAAGUCGUAACAAGGUAGC